CUCUAGGUUUGGUUGCUCCACAUUGGAAGGUUUCCAGUCGUGUUCACCAGGCAUCCGUGGUGGUAGGAAGAGUAGAGACUGGGGUACAUGCAUUGGGAUUCAUCAAGGAAACAAAGCUGGACCAAAGAUGGCUGACUAGAAGCAGUGAGGACUCUUGGCUCUCAUGGAGAGAAAUGAAAGGGGCAAGUAAAUACAGCAACUUCAACUGAAACAUUCAUGUUCUCACAUUGAGACUGAUCAGGGAAAGAGCUCAACCCAUGCAGAAAGGAGAAAAGCAAAGCAGGGCGACAGCCCACUAGGAAAGGACAUGGAGCCAAGGGAACCUCUCCCUGCCCAGGCAAACAGUGAAUGAAUAUGUGACCCCUAGCAACCGCACUUCUUCCAUGGACCUUUGCAACUCUUGGGUCAGGAGAUCCCCUCAUGAAUCCACUCCACCAAGACUUGGUCUGACACACAAAGCUGCAUGAAGUCUCUGCUAAGCAACUGCCCAGGGGUGCACAGAGUCCCAGGAGCUUUACAUACUCUGGCCCCAGGAUCCCUGGUCAGGGUGAUUGCAACUCAGGCCAAGUGGGAGGUUGAACCUCCAUAUACACCCCUAGGAGGGGAGCUGAAGCCCAGAGGCCAAGUAGCAUUGCCCUGUGAUUCCCACUUCCUUGGCACCUCACAGGAUAAGACCCACUGGUUUGGAUUUCCAGCAAGCCCCCUGUUAAUGGUGUUGUGCCUACCUGGGAUAGGAUAGAGUUCCCAGGGGAAGGAGCAAGCCGCUAUCUUUUCUGUUUGGACAACUCAGCCAUUCCAGCAUGUGGGUGUAGGAGAGUCCAAACCACACCAACUGAGAACUGAUGGGACCUCCCAGCACAGCACAGCUGCUCUACCAAAACAUGGCCAGACUGCUUCUUUAAGUGGGACCUGAUCCAUUCCUCAUCUUAGGGCAGGGCCUCCCAACCAAGGCCUCCAGCCAACCCCACCCAUAUUCUCUGGCAGACAGAGUUUUGAUUUCUCCUUGGGAUGGAGUGCCGAGGGGUAGGGACGAGCCACCAUCUUUGCUGUUUGGACAACUCAGUCAUUCCAGCCUCUUGGCUUAGGAGAGUUCAAACCAUCUGAGGGCAGAAGUGGUACCCCAGCAUGACACAACUGCUCUACAAAAGCGUGGCAAGACCGCUUCUUUAAGCAGGUCCCUGAUCUGUUCCUCCUCACUUGGGAGAACUUCCCAACCAGGGUCUUCAGCCUCUCCCACUGAUGUUCUCUGGUUGACAAGGGUUUGAAAGCAUCCUGGGACAGAGUUACUAGAGAGAGGGGCAGGCUGCCAUCUUUGCUGUUUCUGCAAUUUAGCCGUUCCAGCUUUCAGGUUUUGGAGAACCCAACACCAUGAGGGGCAGAAAUGGUAUCCCAGCACAGCUCAGCUGUUCUACAAAAGUGGGGCUAGACUGCUUCUUCAAGCAGGUCCCUGAUCCUGUUUCUACUGGCUGGGUGAGACCUCUCAACCAGGGUCUCCAUCCACCUCCUACAGGUGUGUUCAGGCUGGCAACAGAUUUGUACACCCCUGGGACAGAGCUCCAAGAAGAAGGGGCAGGCUGCCAUCUUUGCUGUUUCACAGCCUUAACUGAUGAUACCUGUAGGUACUAGAAAUUCUGAGGUGACUAUGUUCUGGAAUGGAUGCCCAGCAAACCAUAGUAUCACUACGGUAAAGUGGUGAGACUGUUAAAAAGGAACCCUCCCUUCAAAAACUCCAUCCAGAGGCCAGCAACCCCAAAGAUUGAAGGUAGAUAAGCCCACAAAGAUGAAAAAGAAUCAGUGCAAGAAUGUGGAAAACUCAAAAAGCCAGAGUGCCCUCUCUCCUCCAAAUGACCACAUCACCUCUCCAGAAAGGGUUCAGAAUGGGGUUAAGGCUGACAUGGCUGAAAUGACAGAAGUAGACCUCAGAAUAUGGAUAAAAAUGAACUUCGCUGAGCUAAAGGAGCAAGUUCUAACUCAAUGCAAGGGAGCUAAAAAUCACAAUAAAACAUUGCAGGAGCUGACAAAAUAGCCAGGAUAGAGAAAAGCAUAACCAAUCUGAUGGAGCUGAAAAACACAAUACAAGAAAUUCAUAAUGCAUUUAUAUGUAUUAAUAGCAGAAUAAACCAAGUGGAGGAAAGAAUCUCAGAGCUUAAAGACUGUCUUUCUGAAAUAAGACAGGCAGACAAGGAUAGAGAAAAAAAGAAUGAAAAGGAAUAAACAAAACCUCUGACAAAUAUGGUAUUAUGUAAAGAGACCGAUUCUAUGACUGUUUGGUCAUAGAUGUUUUCCAAAAUAUGUUUUCCAAAUUGGUUCUGCUCUCCCCUGAAAGAGCUGGGGAGAAUGGAACCAAUUUGGAAAACAUAUUUCAGGAUAUCAUCCAUAAGAACUUCCCCAACCAUGCUAGACAGGCCAACAUUCAAAUUCAGGAAAUGCAGAGAACCCCAGUAAAAUAUUUCAUGAGAAGAUUAUCCCCAAGACACAUAAUUAUCAGAUUGUCCAAAAUUGAAAUGAAAUAAAAAAAUGUUAAGGGCAGCCAGAGAGAAAGGCCAGGUCACUUACAAAGGGAAGCCCAUCAGACUAAUGCAUUGAGAAGCAGACUUCUCAGUGGAAACCCUACAAGCCAGAAGACAUUGGGGGUCAAUAUUUAACAUUCUUAAAGAAAAUCAAUUCCAGCCCACAAUUUCAUAUCUGGCCAAACCAAGCUUCAUAAGUGAAGGAGAAAUAAAAUCCUUUUCAGACAAGCAAAUGCUGAGGAAAUUCACUGCCAUCAGACCUGCAUUACAAGAGCUCCUUAAGGAAUAAUAGAAGUGGCAUCAGAAUGAUCAGAAUGUGGAUAAAUAUGGAAAGGAAAAACCACUACCAGCCAUCAAGAAAAUAACUCAACCCAUGGAGGAUGGAGAAAAACAAGGCAGGAUGACUGCCCACCCAGGAUCAACACAGAGCCAGAGAAGCCACCCCCACCCAGGAAAGCAAUGAGUGAGUGAGUGACCUCGAGGACCCAUGCUUCUCCCAUGGGUCUUUGCAACUCUUGGGUCAGGAGAUUUCCUCAUGAACCCACUCCACCAGGGUCUGCAGUCUGAUAUGCAGAGCUAUGUGGAGUCUUGGCACAGCAGAUGCUCAGACACACACAAAGCCCUAGGGAGCCUUAGAUAUCUGGGCUUCCCAGCAAAAGUGGCUACAACUUCAGCAAAGUGGGAGGUUAGACUGCCAUACAUAUCCCUAGGAAAAGGGCUGAAUCCAGAAGGCUGAGCAGUGAUGGUUUACAGGCCCUGUUUCCAUGUCACCUCGCAGAAUAAGACCCACUGACUUGGAACUCUAGCCAGCUGCUGGUAGUGGCAUUACAUCUCUCUGAGACGGAGCUUCCAGAGAGGGGUGGGGCAGGCCACCAUCUUUUCUGUUUUGCAGCCUUUGCUGUUGUUGGAGUCACCCUACAGAAAAAGUGGACAGGCUGCUUUUUAAUUCGGGUCCCUGAUCCUGCUUCUUCUCACUGGGUGAGACCCCCUGACCGAGGUCAUCAGCCACUUUUCCUGGUGGCAGUUCUGGGCCUCCUUGGGAUGGAGUUCCCAGGGGGAGGGAUGGGCAGCCAUCUUUGUUGUUUCACUGCCUUAGCUGUUGUUGCCUUCAGGCUCUAUGGAGUCUAAGGUGACUAGGGACUGGAGCAGUCCCCCAGCACAGUGCAGCAGCUCUACAGUGAAGUGGCCAGAUUGCUUUUUCACGUGGUCCCAGAUCCCUUUUUACUUCAUUUGGAGGAAUCUCCCAGUCAAAGUCUACAACCACCCCCACCAAUGUGUUUGGGCCAGGAACAGACCUAUACCUCCUUGAGACAGAGCUCCCAGAGGGAGGAGCAGGCUGCCAUCUCUGCUGUUUUGCAGCCUUCACUGUUGAUAUCUCAGGUGCUAUAAAAUCUGAGGUGACUAGGGACCGGCGUGGACCCCCAGAAUACUGUAGCAGCUUUACAGAAAAGUGGACGGACUGUUACAUGGGUACCCAUUCCCAUAUCUCCUCACUGGGUGGGUCCUCCCAGCCUGGGUCUCCAGUCACAGCCCACUGGGAAUAUCAAGCCAGUAGCAGCUUUGCACCUCCUUGAGAGAGAGAGCCCCAGUGGGAGGAGUGGGUUGCUAUAUUUGCUGUCUUGCAGUGCUCAUCCUUGCUGUCUCCAGGCUUUGGAGAGUCCAGGAGAACCAGGGGCCUGUCCAGACUUCCACCUCAUGGAAAAGUGGCCAGACUGUUCUCCAUGUAGGUCCUGGUCCUCACUUCUCCUUAUUGGGCAGGGUCACCCUACCUGGGACCCCAGUACAUCCACCCUGCACUUGCCUGACCAUUUCAAUCAGAGACAGCCCAGUAGUUAAAGAAACACCACAAGCAGAGAUGAGAAAGAACCAAUGAAAUAACUCUGGCAACUCAGAUGGCCAGAGUGUCUUAUGUCCUCCAAAUGAUUACACUAGGUCUCCAACAAGGGUUCUUAACCACAAUUAGUUUGCUGAAAUAAUAGAAAUAGGAUUCAGAGUAUGGAUAGGAACAAAGAUCAUCAAGAUUUAGGAUAGCAAAACCCAAUCCAAGGAAACUAAGAAUCACAAUAAAAUGAUGCAGGAGUUGACAGACAAAAUAGCUAGUAUAAAAAAGAACAUAACUGAUAAGAGAGAGCUGAAAAACACACUACAAGAAUUUCAGAAUGCAAUCAGAAGGUUUUUUUUUUUUUUUUUUUUCCUGAGAUGGAGUUUCCCUCUUGUUGCCCAGGCUGGAGUGCAAUGGUGCAAUUUUGGCUAGCUGCAACCUCCACCUCCCAGUUUCAAGCAAUUCUCCUGCCUCAGCCUCCCGAGUAGCUGGGAUUAUGGGUGCCUGCCACCAUGCUCGGCUAAUUUCUUUUUGUAUUUUUAGUACAGACAGGGUUUCACCAUGCUGGCCAGGCUGGUCUCAAACUCCUGACCUCAGGUGAUCUACCCACCUCGGCCCCCCAAAAUGCUGGGAUUACAGGUGUGAGCCACCGCACCCAUAUUAAAAGCAGAAUAGACCAAGCUGAGGAAAGAAUAUUGCAACUUGUCGACUGGCUCUCUGAAAUAAGACAGUCAGACAAAAUUAAAGUGAAAUGAAUGAAUAGGAAUGAAUAAAAUAUCUGAGAAAUAUGGGAUUAUGUAAAAAGGCCAAAUCUAUGAAUCACUGGCAUCCCUGAAAGUGAUGAGAGAAAACAAACAACUUGGAAAACUUGGUAUAUUUAAGGAUACUAUCCAUGAAAACUUUCCCAACCUCAUUAGAGAGGCCGACAGUCAGAUUCAGGAAACACAGAGAACCUCUGCAAGAUUCUACACAAAAAAAUUACCCCCAAGACACAUCACCAUCAGAUUUUCUAAGGUCGAAAUGAAAGAAAAAAAUUAAAGACAGCUAGAGAGAAAGGGUAGGUCACCUACAAAAGCAACUCCACCAGGCUAACAGUGAACCACUCAGCAGAAACCCUAUAAGCCAGAUGAGAUUGAGGGCCUAUAUUCAACAUUCUUAGAGAAAAAAAAUCUACAACUGAGUAUUUCAUAUUCUGCCCAACUAAGCUUCCUCAGUGAAGAAGAAACAGGAUCCUUUUCAGAUAAGCAAAUGCUGAGAGAGUUUGUUAUCACCAGACCCACCUUACAAGAGAGCUUGAAAGGAGCACUAAAUAUGGAAAGGAAUGAUUAUUACCAGCUGAUAUGGUUUGGAUCUGUGUCCCCACUCAAAUCAUAAGUUCAAUUAUAAACCUCAAUGCUGGAGGUGGGGCCUGGUGGGAGGUGAUUGGAUCACUGGAGUGGAUCCUUCAGAAAUGGUUUAAAACCAUCCCUUUGGUGCUGUUUUCAUGAUGGUGAGCUCUCAUAAGAUCUGGUUGUUUAAAAGUGUGUGGCACCUCCCAUUCUCUCUCUUCCUCCUUAUCUGGCCAUGUGAAGUGCUGGUUCUCCUUUGCCUCCCACCAUGGUUGUAAAUUUCCUGAGUCCUCCCCAGAAGCAAAGCAGAUGCUGCCAUGCUUCCUGUACAGCCUGAAGAACUGUAAGUCAAUUAAACUUUUUUCUUUAUAAAUUUCCCAUCUCAGUUGUUUUUUUAUAGCAGUUCAAGAACAAGUUAAUACAGAACAUUGGUAUCAGGAGUUAGAUAUUGCCAUAAAGGUACUUGAAAAUGUGGAAGCAGCUUUGGAACUGGGUAAUGGGCAGAGGUUGGAGGAGUUUGGAGGGCUCAGAAGAAAACAGGAAGAUGAGGGAAAGUUUGGAACUUCAUAGAGAGUUGUUAAAUUUUUGUGGCCAAAAUGCUGAUAGUGAUAUGGACAGUGAAGUCCAGGCUCAGGAGGUUUCAGAUGGAGAUGAGGAACUUAUUGAGAACUAGAGUAAUGGUCACUCUUGCUAUGAUUUAGCAAAGAGACUGGCAGCAUUGUUCCCCUGCUCUACGGAUCUGUGGAACUUUGAACUUGAAAGUGAUGAUUUAGGGUAUCUAGUGGAAGAAAUUUCUAAGAAACAAAGUGUUCAAGAUGUUUCUUGGCUGCUUCUAACAGCAUAUGCUCAUAUGUGGGAGAGCAAAGAGAUGAUCUGAAAUUGGAACUUAUAUUUGAAAGGGAAGCAGAGCAUAAAAGUUUAGAAAAUCUGCAGCCUGACCAUGUGGUAGAAAAGAAAAACCCAUUUUCUGGGGGUAGGAAUUCAAGCUAGCUGUAGAAAUUUGCAUAACUAAAGAAAAGCUGAAUGUUAAUAGCCAAGACAAUUGGGAAAUGCCUUGAAUGCAUUUAAGAGACCUUUGUGGAAGCACCUCCCAUCACAGGCCCACAGGCCUAGGAGGGAAGAAUGGUUCUGUGAGCUAAGCCCAGAGUCCUAGUGCCCUGCACAACCUUAGGACACUGAUCCCUGUGUUCCUGUCACUCCAGGUCCAGCCAUGGCUAAAAGAUCCCCAGAUACGUCUCAGGGUGCUGCUCCAGAGGGCUCAAGCCACAAUCCUUGGUGGCUUCCAUGUGGUGCUAAGCCUGUGGGUGUACAGAAGGCAAGAGUUGAGGCUUGGGAGGCUCCAACUAGAUUUCAGAGGCUGUAUGGCAAUGUCUAGAUGUCCAUGCAGAAGUCUGCUGCAGGACAGCCCUCAUAGAGAACCUCUUUCAGGGCAGUGAGGAAGGGAAAUGUGGGGUUGGAUUCCCCACACUGAGUCCCCACUGGGGCACUGCCUAGUGGAGCUGUGAGAAGAAGGCCACUAUUUUCCAGACCCCAGAAUUGUAGAUCCACUGGAAGCUUGCACUCUGUGCCUGGAAAACCUGCAGGCAUUCAAUGCCAGACCUUGAGAGCAGUGGUGGUGACAACCCUGCAAGGCCACAGGGGCGGGACUGUCCAAGGCCUUGGGAGUCCACCACUUGCACCAGUAUGCCCUGAAUGUAUGACCUGGAGUCAAAGGAGACUAUUUUGGGGUUUUAGAAUUUAAUGGCUCUCUGCUGGGUUUUGGACUUGCAUGGGGCUUGUAGCCUUUUUUUUGUCUGAUUUUUCCCUCUUGAAAUGUGAGUAUUUAACCAAUGCUUAUUCCUCCAUUGUAUCUUGGAAGUAGGUAGCUUUUUAAAAUUUUAUGGGCCCAUAAGCAGAAUGGACUAGCAUUGUCUCAGAUGAGAGUUUGGACUUUUGAGUUAAUGAAGAAUGAGUUGAGACUUUGGGAGACUGUUAGAAAGGCAUGAUAGCAUUUUGCAAUGUGAGAAGGACAUGAGAUUUGGAAGAGGUCAGGGGAAGAAUGAUAUGGUUUGGAUCUGUGUCUCCACCCAAAUCUCAUGUUCAAUUAUAAUCCUCAAUGUUGGAGGUAGGGCCUGGUGGGAGGUGAUUGGAUCAUGGGGGUGGAUCCUGCAUGAAUGGUUUAACACCAUCUCUUUGGUGCUGUUAUCAUCAUGGUGAAAUCUGGUUGUUUAAAAAGUGUGUGGCACCUCCCCCCUCUCUUGAUUCCUCCUACUCUAACCAUGUGAAGUGCUGGCUUCCCCUUUGUCCUCCACCACAACUGUAAGUUUCCUGAGGCCUCCACAGAAGCUGAGCAGAUGCUGCCAUGCUUCCUGUACAGCCUGAAGAAUGGUGAGCAAAUUAAACCUUUUUUCUUUAU
rnacentral:lncRNA from 10 species